UACGUAGGGUACAAGCAUUAAUCGGAAUUAUUGGGCGUAAAGGGCGCGUAGGCGGGGGCGUAAGUCAGAUGUGAAAUACCAAAGCUCAACUUUGGUGCUGCAUUUGAAACUGCGUUUCUUGAGGAUUGACGGAGAAAGCGGAAUUCCACGAGUAGCGGUGAAAUGCGUAGAUACGUGGAGGAACACCGGUGGCGAAAGCGGCUUUCUAGUUUUUACCUGACGCUGAGGCGCGAGAGCAAGGGGAGCAAACAGG
rnacentral:rRNA from 1 species